UACGAAGGGGGCUAGCGUUGCUCGGAAUCACUGGGCGUAAAGGGUGCGUAGGCGGGUCUUUAAGUCAGGGGUGAAAUCCUGGAGCUCAACUCCAGAACUGCCUUUGAUACUGAGGAUCUUGAGUUCGGGAGAGGUGAGUGGAACUGCGAGUGUAGAGGUGAAAUUCGUAGAUAUUCGCAAGAACACCAGUGGCGAAGGCGGCUCACUGGCCCGAUACUGACGCUGAGGAGCGAAAAGCGUGGGGAGCGAACAGG
rnacentral:rRNA from 1 species